UACAGAGGGUGCAAGCGUUGUUCGGAAUUACUGGGCGUAAAGCGCGUGUAGGCGGCUCUUUAAGUCUUGUGUGAAAGCCCUGGGCUCAACCCAGGAAGUGCGCGAGAUACUGGAGUGCUGGAGUACUGGAGAGGAUGGCGGAAUACCCGGUGUAGAGGUGAAAUUCGUAGAUAUCGGGAGGAACACCAGUGGCGAAGGCGGAGACCUGGGCCGAUACUGACGCUGAGGUGCGAAAGCGUGGGGAGCAAACAGG
rnacentral:rRNA from 1 species